GACGAACGCUGGCGGCGUGCUUAACACAUGCAAGUCGAGCGGUAAGGCCCUUUCGGGGGUACGACGAGCGGCGAACGGGUAGAGUAACACGUGGGUGACCUGCCCUCAGCUCUGGGAGUAAGCCUGGGAAACCGGGUACUAAUACCGGAUAUGACUCCAUGACGCAUGUUGUGGGGUGGAAAGCCUUGUGCGGCUGAGGAUGGGCCCGGCGGCCUAUCAGCUUGUUGGUGGGGUGAUGGCCUACCAAGGCGACGACGGGUAGCCGGCCUGAGAGGGCGACCGGCC
rnacentral:rRNA from 1 species